rnacentral:rRNA from 1 species
AUUGAACGCUGGCGGCAGGCCUAAAACAUGCAAGUCGAACGAGUGGCGGACGGGUGAGUAAUGUCUGGGAAACUGCCUGAUGGAGGGGGAUAAAUACUGGAAACGGUAGCUAAUACCGCAUACCAUCAGAUGUGCCCAGAUGGGAUUAGCUUGUUGGUGGGGUAACGGCUGACCAAGGCGCCGAUCCAUAGCUGGUCUGAGAGGAUGAUCAGUCACACUGUAACUGAGACACGGUCCAGACUCCUACGGGAGGCAGCAGUGGGGAAUAUUGGACAAUUGGCGAAAGCCUGAUCCAGCCAUGCCGCGUGUGUGAAGAAGGUCUUCGGAUUGUAAAGCACUUUAAGUUGGGAGGCGUUACCAACAGAAUAAGCACCGUCUAACUUCGUGCCAGCAGCCGCGGUAAUUC